UACAGAGGUCCCAAGCGUUGUUCGGAUUCAUUGGGCGUAAAGGGUGCGUAGGCGGCGCGGUAAGUCGGGUGUGAAAUCUCGGAGCUUAACUCCGAAACUGCAUUCGAUACUGCCGUGCUUGAGGACUGGAGAGGAGACUGGAAUUUACGGUGUAGCGGUGAAAUGCGUAGAUAUCGUAAGGAAGACCAGUGGCGAAGGCGGGUCUCUGGACCGAUACUGACGCUGAGGAGCGAAAGCGUGGGGAGCGAACAGG
rnacentral:rRNA from 1 species